rnacentral:piRNA from 1 species
UUACUUUGUUGCUUUGUUUUU